CUUAGCUUAGCUCAGAGAAAUUCUCCACACUUCAGUGAGAUGCCGUAUUUGUUAUUCAUAAUACUGGCUGUUGAAAUGGGCUGGUCUCUAGACAUAAACCCACAACUAACACAACAGGAAGCGGUCGUAUUUCAGAAUUGGUACAUGCAAAGAGUAGUAGAUAAAUUACCUCUACUGGAAAAGAUAUCAGACUGUGAAGAAUGCCCACGAAUUUACAUUCCAGUCUGUGGAAACGAUAAUCGUACUUACAAUAAUCUAUGUAGAAUGAAUUGUGUCAAUACUAAAAGGUACAAACAAGUAAGUCUAAGUUACAUGGGACCUUGUUUAAUAUUUUUGACACCAUUUGAAUAUUAGGAACUUCAAAUAAAAUGUAUUUUAUUAUUCUAAUAUAUUGUACUUUUAAA